GACGACGACUCCUACGGGAGGCAGCAGUGGGGAAUAUUGCACAAUGGGGGAAACCCUGAUGCAGCCAUGCCGCGUGUGUGAAGAAGGCCUUCGGGUUGUAAAGCACUUUCAGUAGGGAGGAAGGUAGUGUAGUUAACACCUGCAUUAUUUGACGUUACCUACAGAAGAAGCACCGGCUAACUCCGUGCCAGCAGCCGCGGUAAUACGGAGGGUGCGAGCGUUAAUCGGAAUUACUGGGCGUAAAGCGCAUGCAGGCGGCCUGUUAAGUCAGAUGUGAAAGCCCGGGGCUUAACCUCGGAAUUGCAUUUGAAACUGGCAGGCUAGAGUCUUGUAGAGGGGGUAGAAUUUCAGGUGUAGCGGUGAAAUGCGUAGAGAUCUGAAGGAAUACCAGUGGCGAAGGCGGCCCCCUGGACAAAGACUGACGCUCAGAUGCGAAAGCGUGGGUAGCGAACAGGAUUAGAUACCCUGGUAG
rnacentral:rRNA from 1 species